rnacentral:misc_RNA from 1 species
CCAAAUACGUUUUACAAAAUGCUACUCCACGUAACACUACUGCAAACCCUCUUUAUUCUCCUGAUACUAAAACACUCUACAGAGCUCUACGUCAAAACAUACGACCAAUUUGAUAAAACCGAAAUUCUAGACCAUGAAGAUCACAGAGAUAUCCUUCGUGAUUCGAAGACCGUCUUCCUUCCAGAGAUGGCGAUAUAUUUCGAGAAUCCGCAGGUGCGUGAAAAAAGGAGAAUCAUUUGCCAGAUAUAUGGACCCAAGUCAGAACUUUGCUACAAAAUCUUGAUCAAUCAAGAUCCGAUAGAUACUAGUGAUUAUGUAUUUAUGGGUGACGAUAGCUUCUCGAACAACACAACCUCUUCGACCACUUUACUUCCAAUAAGGCCAGACAUUAAGCAAGAAAAUGAUACUAACGACAAUGAUAUUGAAGGCGAUAAGACAAUACUGGUGGUAAAUGUGAACAUAACAAAUCCUGAGGAGCACAUUUUGAAUAGUACUUUUGAAAAUCAAUAUUCCAGUGGCAAUGAUGAACACGAGCUUUAUUGGAAUAGUCAUCUGAAUAAACAGGCAGUAAGAGAGUUACAGAGUAGGAUCAUGCAAAAAUAUAUGAACAACAAAAUAAACCCUUGCAAUGACUUUUACGGAUAUGCGUGUGGAAACUGGAAAAAAUACUUCAAGAUCCCGCCAGACAGAUCCUCAUUUGAUACGUUCGAGAUCAUUCGAGAAAAUCUGGAUCACGUCUUAAAGGAAAUCCUGGAAGACCGAUCGGAAAUGCUAGCAACCCCGUCCAAUCACACAGAACCCGUUAGUCUGGAUUACUUAUUCCAUAGCGGCGUGGUGCCUAAUAACACCAUGGAUGCCUCAGUGAAAGCCAAAUUGUUUUACGCCUCCUGUAUGGAUGAAGCAAUGAUUUUGAAAAAAAGUAGUCGGCCUUUACUGAGUGUAAUUGAGCUUCUUGGAGGCUGGCCGAUGUUGUCCCAGAAUUGGACCGAAAGAAGAUACGAUCUGUUUCGUUUGCUGGCUAGGCUUCGCCUGAUAAACAAUGAUCUGCUUAUAUCCCAGUGGAUUGGACCCGAUAUGAAAAACGCGAAUCAAUAUAUCGUCCAUAUAGAUCAGACAACGUUAGGACUGCCAACCAGGGAAUAUUUUACCGAUCCCAAAAAUAUUAAAUACGUCAGUGCGUAUAGGACCUUAAUUAUGGGUACUGUUCAGUUACUAGGAGCUGAACUAGUAGACAUAGAAAAUGACGUGAACGAUCUGAUAGACUUCGAAACGAAAUUGGCAGAUAUCAUGGCAACAACCGAAGAACGAAGAAACGUUAGCGACAUUUACCUUAAGACCGACCUGUCGUCCAUGACCUUGUUUUUUCCACAAUACGAGUGGAAAACCUAUUUUGAUAUUAUUUUAGGUCCCAAAGUAAGUCUUCGCACUCCCGUUGCAGUUUAUUGUGUGAAGUACCUUUUGGACCUGGUGCCACUGCUAAGCACCACAAGCCAUCGCACCAUCCAAAAUUAUUUGAUAUGGCGUUUGGUUCGUCAUCGCCUUAAUAAUUUAGAUUCCAGAUUUCUCGAAAUUAAACAGAGAUUUAAUUUCGUGUUAUUCGGAAGGGAAAAGCAGCCGCAAAGAUGGCAGUUUUGCGUUAGUCAAGUGAACACUCACAUGGGCAUGGCCAUUGGGUCGCUUUUUGUACAAAGAUACUUUGAUGAGUCCAGUAAAGACGACACAAUUAAAAUGACCCAGGAUUUAAUGGCAUCUUUCAAAGACAUAUUGAAAGACAGCACGUGGCUGGACCCUCAUACCAAAGAAUAUGCCCGAAUGAAAAUCGAUAAAAUGGACUUAAAAAUUGGAUUUCCUGAUUUUGCUUUAAAUAAAACUGAGCUUGCGGCAAGAUACUACGACGUGAACAUCCAAGAAGAGACGUUUUUCGAAAACGUCUUGAGCAUUUUAAGGCAUCUGAGUCGAGCUGAGCAAAAGAGGUUGGGAUCAGAAGUGAACAGAACCCUAUGGAGCACCUCACCGGCUGUAGUCAAUGCCUACUACAGUAGAAAUAAAAAUCAAAUUAUGUUUCCCGCCGCCGCCCUUUUAUCAUAAGCAUUUUCCAAAAGCGUUAAAUUUCGGAGGUAUAGGGGUCGUGAUUGGGCAUGAAAUAACUCAUGGAUUUGACGAUAAAGGACGAUUAUUCGAUGCCCAAGGAAAUCUUAUGAUGUGGUGGAGGGAAACGUCAAUUAGGAAUUUUUAUGACAAAGCUCAAUGCAUGAUAGAUCAGUACAG